GGGGGUUUAGCUCAGUUGGUAGAGCGCCUGCUUUGCAAGCAGCAUAUCAGCGGUUCGAGUCCGCUAACCCCCA
rnacentral:tRNA from 1 species